UACGGAGGAUCCAAGCGUUAUCCGGAAUCAUUGGGUUUAAAGGGUCCGUAGGCGGUUUAGUAAGUCAGUGGUGAAAGCCCAUCGCUCAACGGUGGAACGGCCAUUGAUACUGCUAGACUUGAAUUAUUAGGAAGUAACUAGAAUAUGUAGUGUAGCGGUGAAAUGCUUAGAGAUUACAUGGAAUACCAAUUGCGAAGGCAGGUUACUACUAAUGGAUUGACGCUGAUGGACGAAAGCGUGGGUAGCGAACAAG
rnacentral:rRNA from 1 species